AAAGCCUGACGCAGCGACGCCGCGUGAGGGAUGAAGGUUUUCGGAUCGUAAACCUCUGUCAGAAGGGAAGAAACCGCACCGUGCUAAUCAGCGGUGACUUGACGGUACCUUCAAAGGAAGCACCGGCUAACUCCGUGCCAGCAGCCGCGGUAAUACGGAGGGUGCAAGCGUUACUCGGAAUCACUGGGCGUAAAGAGCACGUAGGCGGCCUUGCAAGUCAGAUGUGAAAUCCAACGGCUUAACCGUUGAACUGCAUUUGAAACUGCAAGGCUAGAGUAUGGGAGAGGUAGGUGGAAUUCUCGGUGUAGGGGUAAAAUCCGUAGAGAUCGAGAGGAAUACUCAUUGCGAAGGCGACCUGCUGGAACAUUACUGACGCUGAGGUGCGAAAGCGUGGGGAGCAAACA
rnacentral:rRNA from 1 species